GUGCGGCUUAUGCCACAUGAAUAAUGGGGACAAUAUUUAUUUCUGGCACAGUGCUAUCCUGCCUUAGCGCUGGCAGGCUACAGUGGCAUCAUUACUCUGUUUCCCAACCAGGUGCUGUGUGUUAAGAGCCAAGGAUAGCGCUGUGAGCAGAAAUCUGCUCUUCUGACUCUACCUUGUCAUGCUGUUCGGUGGCCCAGGGUUGCUGGAGCUGGGUCUUCGUGCAGCACCGCACACCCCGUUUCAUGCCGAGUGCUCUGCGCUGCGGUUCGAGCUGGUGCUGGCGCAGGGCUCAGCUUUCUAGCGAGCCGGCGUCGCAGCCAGCUUCACCCUGCGACGGGGGACACGUGUGGACUGCUGAUGCAGCCCAGCUGCACAAGCGGUCGUGCGGGAAAGCAGAGCCUUAACCUGGGGCAGCUGUGGCCAAACUGGUUGUCCGCCCACGCUGGGCCCAUAUGAUCCCUCUCAGGAUGGAAACACCAGCUCCUUUGUGGGCAGAGAGCAUUUUGUAUUAGCUCUUGUGGCUUUCUUGUCUGUUCUGCCCAGUGCUGCUGGGGGCUUGGACUGAGUAGGUAAGAAAUAAAGCUGAGCCCCUUUUCCAGGAGCAAGGAGCCCAGCUUUCCUGAGCUGGGAUGCUCCAGCUCCUUCCUGGUGUGAUGCUCUGCUGGCUUCCUCGCUGGGAUGAAGCUCACCUGCAGCAACCAGGACUCGGCUGGCAAAACACUGUGCUGUAUUGUCCAACAGGGAGCAGCUCGCACGAGAGGGAGGAAGGGGAGGAACCGUGGACGGCAGAGGGUGAUAAACGGAUUAAUCUGUCUGUUUGCUUAUGAACCGUUCCAGGAGCGCAAACGUUCGCGUACAAACAUCACUAAAGACCUCAGCGGUGUUUGAAGGCAAAGGCUCCACCCGGGGCCUGUUGCAGACGGAAAUGGUGCUUGUUAGCGCUGCUGCUUUUCUGAAGUUAUCGCUGCCAGAAUCUCAUCGCUAGGAAAAAAAAAAAAGAGAGCAGUUCCCUGGCGGCACGAGGAGGCUUCCCAGCCUGUGGAUGUUCCCUUUCUCCUUGCAGAGCAGGAGGAAAAUGUCCCUUUCUCUUCCCAAGAAACUCCUGGCCCUCGCCGGCUGAUGUUUCCUGCCCUCCUUUGAGACCUCCACCUGAUGCUCUCGCUCGCCCGCCGGUUCCUGACCACGGGUUAAUAAAGGAUAAUAAACGCUAAGAGACGCUGCA
rnacentral:lncRNA from 1 species